rnacentral:rRNA from 1 species
ACUCCUACGGGAGGCAGCAGUGGGGAAUCUUAGACAAUGGGGGAAACCCUGAUCUAGCCAUGCCGCGUGAGCGAUGAAGGCCUUAGGGUUGUAAAGCUCUUUCAGCUGGGAAGAUAAUGACGGUACCAGCAGAAGAAGCCCCGGCUAACUCCGUGCCAGCAGCCGCGGUAAUACGGAGGGGCUAGCGUUGUUCGGAAUUACUGGGCGUAAAGCGCACGUAGGCGGAUUGGUAAGUUGGGGGUGAAAUCCCGGGGCUCAACCCCGGAACUGCCUCCAAAACUCCCAGUCUUGAGGUCGAGAGAGGUGAGUGGAAUUCCGAGUGUAGAGGUGAAAUUCGUAGAUAUUCGGAGGAACACCAGUGGCGAAGGCGGCUCACUGGCUCGAUACUGACGCUGAGGUGCGAAAGCGUGGGGAGCAAACAGGNUUAGAUACCCUGGUAGCGACUGA